AGUCGUAUGGUCUAAUGGUUAUGAUUUCUCGUUCACAAUAUAUGUGUACAUUGUCCCGAGACGGUUCCGUGUUCGAUCCACGGUACGACUA